AAAUGACUGCUUUAAUACUGGCGGGGGGCGGGGGACACAUAUCACAAAAUCUGAUACAGUUCAUCAAAAGACAAUUCGAAAAGCUGAAAGCAUUAUAAAAUAUAAUUACUAAAAGCAUUAUAAAAUAGUAUUAUUAUGUGAAGCAAGAAGAUAUAUUUGCAUGAAAUUUUGCAAAAAACUUCAAAUUUAAGGUUUUUGCUCGUGUUUGAAUUUGUAUCCUUGAAGUCAAUGUUGUGAAAAACAGCAGGAGUUCUGCAGAGGCUCCUGGAAAUGGGGAAUGUGGGUGGCAGCCUUCAAUUUUCUACCAAGGGGUGAUUUCAUUUCAGAACUGGGUCAGGAGUUUAAAAAAAAGUGGGAAAAAAACUUAGAAAGCAGUGCUGGCUUUCAGUGGUCACUUGUAUAAAUGUCUACAUCUUUGCAGUUUGAAUUGGUCAGUGGCAGCCUCCCCCUGAAUUCUGAGGUGGAAAAGGGAAGGCCCUUAUGUGGUGAUGCAGGUCGACCACAGCUGGGCUCGAACCCGGGGUCAGAAGUGUUUGCGACAGGACAGCCCAGACGUGUGGAGAGCCCAGACUGCAGCCGUGUGUGGGCCCUGGAGACUUGGCUUAAGCCAGGACCAGAGGACGGGGCGUGGGGGAAAUGCCAGCAGAGUCAACACAAGUCACACGUUCCCACUCAGGACUACUAGUUGCAGGUAGUCAUCGGCCCUCAGGAGAGAGAGCUGCGCACUGAGGAGCCUCUCUGGGGAGAAAACAACCAGGCUCCUGGCCCUAAACUCUCCGCCUUCAUGCUCGCGUCCCUGCGCCGGGAGUUCCUGUGGCUGAGUCCCUCAGUCGUGUCCGACUCUCUGCGACCCCGUGGCCUGCUGCCCGCCAGGAUCCUCUGUCCACAGGAUUUCCCAGUUCUACCAGUUUCUUGCUACCAACCCAUCUCCCUCCACCGUCGUGCACACACGAUCAGUCAUGUAAUCCCAUGGACUUCGGCCCGCCAGACUCCUCUGUCCAUGGAUUUUUCCAGGCAAGAAUACUGGAGUGGGUUGCCAUUUCCUUCUCCUACAAUUUUCAUCUUGUUAGUGAAAAAUCAGCAUUUAGUUUAUCUUUCUAUUACUUUUAAAAAGUUACCAUAUGCGGUCAUCUGAAUGUUUGUGUCCUCCCCAAAUUCAUCUGUUGAAGUCUUAACGCCCAACAUGACAAUUCUAGGAGGUAAGACUUUGGGGAGGCUCUGGGGUCAUGAGGGGGGCCCUCGUGGGUGGGAUUAGAGUCCUCAUCGAAGAGAGCCGACAGAACUCUCUCACCCCUUCUGGCCUGUGAGGACACGGUGAGAAGGCAUCGUCUUUGAUCCAGGAACGCGACCUCCCCAGACACUGGAUUGCGGCGCUGUGAUGGUCUUAGGCUUGCCGGCCUCCAGAACCACGAGAACUGAAUUUCUGUUUGCAGAACAACAGUCUGUGGGUUUUGUUAGAGCACCCAGAGAUGGCUAAGACGCUGUAGUAGCUGAAAUGUGUCCUACAGUGGGAUGUGGAAUCCAUCCCCUUUAUGAUGUAAAAAAGUAAAAACUGAGUGUGAUAAAUAAUUUUA